ensembl:lncRNA
GUCGCCCCGAGCGGGAGGCUGAGCUGGGGGUUGCCGCCGCCUGGGCUCCCGGUUCCGGGCGGCCCCGUGCGCGAGCGCAGGUACGGUCCUCGGGCGCCGGCUGCUUUCUGGAUCGCUUUACUGCAAAAGGUGGCUGUUAUGAACCCUGCUGGACCUCGAGAGUUUGACUUAGGACCCGUUGCGAGAGCAAAUCAUGGCCUUUAGGGAUGCUCGUACCAGAAGACUUCCAGUCCACGUUUUUAUUAGUGAUCAGAAGGUUCCCUGCCCCCACCCCGACGUGAGUGCAGUGAUGAAACGAAUACUGAGCAGGUACAUGUGGCAGGGCGGUUAAUCCGGACAGCAAUCCCAUAAGGAAGCGUCUGUUAUCCCCGUUUGUACAACCGGUCAACUAGUCCAGAGAAGUGCUGUUUGUUCUGUGCUACUUUUAGAAGAAGCCCCCCCCUGCAAAUAGAAGUCAGUGGUGAUCGCAUUAUUCUCCAGAGGACCUGGGCUUCUACUUCAGAGAGAGAAUGAGGACCAUCAAGCACGGAUGUCUACAAUUUUUGCCCAACCAUCUCAUCCAAACCCCACAAAUUACCUAUAUCCACACCCAGGUUUGCUAGCUUUCCUGUGUCUCGCAGGCUGGGUGUCCCCGCUUUUCUCUGAAGCAAACGUCUCCGCUGUCUGCUCCCACCUGUGACCGCCUCUUUGACGCAUCUUUAACCUUGUCCUUUCUAUUGGGUACAACUCUGCAGCACAGUCACAUUUUAAGACUUUUCUGCCUUAAAUUUUCCCAUGAUUUUACAACCUCGUUCUAGUUCUCUCUUCUUUCAUCAUAAUUAAGCUUUUGAAAGAAUUUUGUACCAAGAGCAGCGUUGACCCUCCAUGAAUAUUUUUAGGAUUCAAUAAAUAUCUUCUGACUGAAUGAAUGUACAUUCUCCUCUCCGUUGCAUCAGCUCCUACCCUCUGACUUCAUACCUGGAUUUGAAGCACACUAUAUCCACAAUAAUUCUAAAAUAGGCAUCUGAACAUGUUGCUCCACUGCUUAAAAUCUUUCACUGGCUCAUCGGAACUUUCAAGACAAAGAUUAACAGGGUCUUCAAGGCUCCUUUCAUGCUUGCAUGCUCUGUCUCUCCUGUUAUGCCAAACUCUUCAGAGUCCCCUGAUUGCGCGCGCUCAUCUCUGCUUUAAUGAGUACUGUUUCCUCUGACCUUUUCCUUAGCUUUUUGCUGGUCCAGACCAUUUGAAAGUAAAUCCAAGAACACGCUUACAAGCGCGUUCUCAGCCGUCACACCUGCGUACCCAGCAGAAGUCUGCACACCACCUGCAGAACGCUUCCAGGCCUCCUGCUUCCAUCUCUGCCAUGUCUCACUUUCAGCUCUCCUGAGUCCUCAGUUUCCCUCCUCAGUUCAGCUCCAUUCAGAAGCUGCUAAUAUUCACCUAGGCCCCAAAGUUGACAGCCAAUAUUGAACCAACCUUUUAUUAUUAAAUAUUUCUUUGGUUUCAAAUGAACACUAUUAUAAAUAUCUUUUCAUAAAUCCUUGUCCAUGUCCUUACUGCCUCAAGUCCUGAAAAGUAAUCAAAGGUAUGAACACUUUUAGCCUUUUAGAAACAUGUUGGCAAGCUGCCUUCCAGGAAGAACAUAGGCUCAAGUGUCACAUGGCCUGGGGUCAAAUCGCAGUUCUGCCACCUGGGGCCACGUUCUGAUUUUCAUGGGCCCUAGAUGCUUUUACCUUUGUGGCCACUUCUGCCACAAAAUAAUAUUAAAAAUUAUAUUUAUAACUGCAUUGGUUUAAGGACAGCAUAUUGAUGUUAUAUAGUAAAAUGUUUUCUUUGACCAUAGCAUUCAUUUUUUUUCUUCUGAUUUUAAAAGAAGUUAAAACAUUUUAUGGGCGUCUGAAAUUGUGGUGAGCCUGAGGCACUGUGCCCACUGUGACAAUUGGAUAAGUCAACCCUGCUGCGACCUACAGGCUAUGAGAUUUGGCCAAAUUCCUUAAUCUGGCUGUGCCUCAACCAGAAAAUUGGUGUAACGCGGCCAUAUGAUGUUGUAGCAAAAAGUAAAUAAGUUGUUACAAAUAAAAUACUUAGAAGUACAUGGCACAUAAUCAAUACGUUACCGUCAUUAUAACUUUUAGUCUCAAUUUUCCCACAGAGGUAUAUGAGAGUAUACGAUUGUCCUUCUUCACUGUGCCAAAGUCAUCAUGGUGUAUUUUUAUAUGGGCAAAUAUGGUUUCUUAUUGUUGGCUCAUUGUCCAUUUUCUUACUGGGGUAUUCACAAAAAGUCACUUUAUAUGAUGUAGAUAUUGAUCCUAGAUAAAGCUAUUGGUCUUUUCCAUUUUUGUUUCCUUCUAUUAUUUUUUGCUUCACAAGUCCUUUCCCAUCCUGAGAUCAUAUCAAUUAUCUGCCUUUAUUUUUACUACGUGUUUGGUAAUUUUGACUUUUCCGUUAAAUAAUUUAAUCCUUUGGGAUUUAUUUUGGAGUGAUGAUCUACCUUUCAUUUUCUCGAAAUGGCUGACGGUCUUCCCCAGCUCAUUUUCUAAAGAAUCCUUCUCCAAGUAUGAUGGUUUUAAAAUAUGUAUGCCCACAAAUUCAUCGAUAUUCCUUCCUUCAAAAAGUGGAGACUAAUUCCCUUCCAAGUGAAUGUGGGCUGUACUUAGUGACUUGCUCCUAAAGGAUACAAUAUAGCAGAAGUGACACUGUGGCCAUCUUAAAAAGGUAUCGUGGCUCCUCCCUACCCCCUCUCAGAUCACUUGCUCUGGGGAAGGCAGUUACCAUGUCAUGAAGACAUUAUCAAGUAGCUUUAUCAGACGCCCAUGUGUCAAAGAGCUGAAUAUCCUGCCAACAACCAGCAAGAAUCUGCAGCCUCUGCCAAUCUCCAUGUGACUGAGCCAUCUUGGAAGCAGGCCUUGGGAUGAUGCAGACAUCUUGACUGCAACCUCAAUAGAGACCUUGAACAAGAACCCCCAGCUGAGUCGCUCCCAAAUGCCUGACCCAUAGUAACUGGUAGGUAAUAAGUGUUCAUUGUUUUAAGCCACUAAAUUUGGGGGAUAAUUUGUUACAGAACAAGUGAUAACAAAUGUACUAACCUGGUGGUUCUCAGCUGGGGACAAUUUUGCAUCCCAGGGGACAUUUGGCAAUGUCGUGAAACAUUUUUCACAAUUGGCAGGCACAAGUGGGGAGAGAUUUCCAUGGGCACCUUGUGGGUAGAAGCCAGAGACUGCUAACCAUCCUUUAGUGCACAGGACAGCACACACACACACACACACACCAGCAGCAACAAAGAAUUAUCAGAUCCAAAAUGGCAAUAGUGCUGAAGGUGAGGAACCUUGCACUAACCUGUCUGUUUUCCCUGCACCUUAAAUUUUCCCUCUUACACAUGUAAGUGUGAAAAAGGUGGGUUUGCUUCAUAUCCUUUGCUCAUUUGGAUGCUGCUUUACCUUGUUUUACCCUGGUCCUAGGCAACCACCAAUCUGCUUGCUGUCACUAGAGAAUAAUUUUACUUUUUCAAUGAUUUGGUAUAUAUGGAAUCAUCCGAUAUGUCCCUUUUUGUGUCUGGCUUCAUUAGCUCAACACAUUUUAGAGAUUCAUUCAUAUCGUUGUGUGUAGCAGUAGUGCCUUCUUUUUUGUUGUAGACGGCUGUGUUAUUGUAUGGAUUUGCCAAAAUUCUUAAAUUUUUGUCUUAUUGAUGGAUAUUUGCUUUGUUUUCAGUUUUGGGUUAUUAUGACUCAAGAUUCUAUGAACGUGUCAUCAAAAGUCUUUGUGUUGAAAUAUAUUUUCAUUUUUAUUGGGUAAACAAUGCCUAGAAGUAGAAUUGCUGGGUCACAAGGUAAGUAUAUAUUUAACUUUGUAAGAAAAUGCCAAUCUACUCUCCAAAGUGGUUGUACCCCUUACAUUUCCACCAACAGUAUAUGGGAGUUCCAGUUGUUCUGUUUCCUCUCCAACACUUAGUAAUGUCAGUCCUUUCUGAUUUUAGCCACUCUAGUGAGUGCAUAUGGUAAGUCACUGUGUUUUAAUUUGUAUUUCCCUGAUGUUGAGCAUCUUUUCAUGUGCUUAUGGACCAUUUGUAUAUUUUCUUUUGUGAAGUGUCUAUUCAAAUCUUUUGUCCAUUUCAAAUUGUUUUUGAAACAAUUUGCUUGCUGUGGUGAGCAAGGUGGUCAGCCUCCAGGAUGGACCCCAUUGAUCCUGGCCUCCUGGUGUCUAUCCUCUUUUAGAGUCUUCUCCCCUAUAGAGCUGACCCGGGUCAGAUUUUCCAAGAGGAAAUUAUGGAAGUGAUGAUAUGUGUCUUCUGAGGCUAGGUCAUAGAAGACAGUGCAGCUUCCAUAAUAGCCAGCAGCAACUUGCCAGCCCUAGGUGGCACUGUGGAAGUGGAUCCCCUCUCCUCUGUCAAGCCUUUGCAUGACUGCAAUCGCAUGUGACUCCCAGCCAGAACUGGUCAGCCAAGCAUUUCACAUAUUCCUGAUCCAGAGAAAUUUUGACAGAUAGUGAGUGUUUAUUGUUAUUUUCAGCCUCUAAGUUGUGGAGAAAUUUUUUACACAGCAACAGAUAAACUUACAUUUCAUUUUCUUAAUAGUGUCUUUUGAAGGACGGAGUUUUUAUUUUGAUGAAGUUCAAUGUAUCAAUCGUUUUGUGACUCAAGCUUUUUAUGACUCAUUCUUUUUAUAUUUAAGAAAGUUUACCUACUCCAAGAGAGUGAAGAUUUUUUUCAUAUGUUUUAUUCUUGAAAUUUAUAGUUUCAGCUUUUACAUUUGAGUCUAUAAUACAUUUCAAAUUAAUUUUUGCAUAAGGUAUGAGGAGAGUCAAUGUUGAUUUUUUUUCUAAAUGGACAUACAGUUGUGUCAACACCAUUUGUUGAAAACAGUCCUUUCCCCACUUUGGCUACUUUGGUGAAAAUGAAAACUCAAUGUCUAUUUUUGGAUUCUAUAGUCCAUUCAAUUUCCCUGUAUGCCUAUCCUUACACAAAUAUCACACUGCAUUGAUUACUAUAAACUUCAGAAAGUGAUGAAAUCAGGAAGUAUAAAUCUUCCAAAUUUCUUCUUCUUUUUCAAAAUGAUUUUGACUCUUCUAGGCUCUUUGCAUUUCCAUAUAUACUUUAGAAUUAACUAGUUAAAUUUCACUUUUUAAAAAAUACUUCCAGGAGUUUGAUUGGGAUCGUGAAUACGUAGAUUAAUUUAGGAAGAACUGACAUAUUAAUUAUAUUUAGUCUUCCAAUCCAUGAAUAUAGUAUAGAUCUCAGUGUAUUUAGGUCUCCUCUAAUUUCUCUUAGCAAUGUUUUGUAUUUUUUUAUAGUAUUGCUGUUGCAUAUACUUAUCCUUAAGUAUUCCAUGCUUUUAAAGCUGUUGUAAAUGGUGUUCUUAAUUUCAUUUUCUAAUGGUUCAUUGAUAGUAUAUUUAAAUACAAUUGACUUUUAAAUAUUGGCCUCGUGUGCUGAGACUUUGCUAAUGAAUUUAUUAGUUCUAGUAGUGCUUUGUAUAUUUCUUGGGAGUUUCCAUGUAUACAAUCUUGUCUCUCCAAACAGAGAGAGUUUUAUUUUUUCCUUUCCAUUCUGUAUGCUUAUAUUUCCUUUUCUCGCUUUAUUCCACUGACUAAAACAUACAGUACAAUGCUGAAAAGAAGUGGUAAGAAGGGACAUCCUUGCCUUGUUCCUGAUUUUAAGGGAAAUCAUUCAAUGUUUCACUAUUAAAUAUGAUGUUAGGUCUAGAUUUUUUUGUAUAGGCCCUUCACUAAGUUGAGGAAGUUCCUUUCUUUUCCCAAUUUGCUGAGAGUUUUUAUCACAAAUGAGUGUUAAAUUUUAUCAAAUACUUUCAAGGGGUAUCUAUUGAGAUGAUCUUACAUAUUUUUUUCCUUUUUAGAUUGUUGAUAUGAUGGAUUUAAUUGAUUGAUUUUCAAAUGUUAAACCAAUCUUACGUUGCUGAGAUAAACCACACUUGAUCUGGUGUAUUAUACUUUUUAUAUAUUGCUGGGUUCUACUUGCUAAAUUUUAAAUAUUUUAAGCAAUCCAAGUUUGUUAGGGGAACUGGUCUAUAAUUUUCCUGUAAUUUUUUUUUUAGGUUUGUCAUGAGGGUAAGGCUGGCCCAAUAAAAUGAGCUUGGAAGUAUAUCCUCUUUAUCUAUUUUCUGAGAAAAGUUUGUAUGAUUUUUAUUAUUUAUUUCUUAAAUGUUUUAAAGAUUUCACCAGUGACAUUUUCUAGGCCAGGAGUUUUCUUCUUGAGAAAGUUUAAAUUAUGAAUUUAAUUUCAUUUGUCGAUAAAAGUAAAUUUAAUUUUCUAUUUCUUCUUGUGCCAGUUUUGGAAAUUUGUGUCUUUCAAGAUAUUUUUCCAUUUCAUUUAAGUUGUCAGAUUUAGAGGCCUAAAGUUAUUUAUAAUAUUCACUUAUUAGUCCUUAAUAUUUGUAGGACUGUAGUGAUGUCCCAUCAUUUAUUUCUAAUAUUAGUAUUUUAUGUCUUCUCUCUUUUUCACUUGAUCAGUUUAUUUAAUGUUAUUUCAGUUUCAUUGGUCUCUUCAAAGAAGCAGCUUUGGGGUCAUUAAUUUUACUGUCUGUUCAUCUUCUGUUUCAUUUAUUUCAGCUUUGUCUUUAUUAUUGCCACAUUUCUACUUACUAGAGGUUUAUUCACUCUUCUUUUUCUAGCUCCUUAAGGUGAAAGCUUAUAUUAUAUACUGGGGACCUUAUUUCUUUUCUAAUAUAAGCAUUUAGAGCAUAAGUUUCCUUCUGAGCACUGCUUUAGCUGCAUGCCCAAAAUUUUGAUAUAUUUUAUUUUUAUUUAGUUCUAAAUAUUUUCUGGUAUUCCUUGUGGUUUCUUCUUUGACCCAUGAGUUAUUAGGAAAUAUGUUGUAUAAUUUCCAAAUAUUUGGGGAUUUCCCAUAUAUCUUUCUGUUGUGGUUUUCUAAUUUAAUCCCAUUAUGGUUAGAGAGCAUACUUUAACAUUUCUGUCCUUUUAGAUUAUCAAUACUCGUUUUAUCCCCUGACAUUCUUGGUGAAUUUGUCAUUUGCACAUGAAUCGUGUGUGUUCUGUUGUUGUCCAGAAGACUGAAGAUUGUUCUAUAAAUGGCUAUUAGGUCAAGUUGGAUGAUAGUAUUCUUCAAGCCUUCUAUAGCUUUACUGAAUUUUGUCUACUUGUUCUAUCAAUUUCUGAGAGGAAUAUUACAAUCUCUAACUAUGGUUGUGAAUGCACCUUUUUUAUCCUUUCAUUUCUGUCAGCUGUUGGUUCAAGUAUUUUCUAGGUCUAUUAUUAGGUGUGUACACAUUAAGAUUGUCAUGUAGUCUUUACUGUUACAAAAUUUCCCUGUUAAUAUCUGUUAGGAUUACUUGCUCUCAUUGUAGUUUUAAUCUGCAUUUCCCUAAUCAUUAGUGAUGUUGAACAUCUUUUCAUGUGCCUGGUGGCCAUCUGUGUGUCUUGUUUGGAAAAAUGUCUGUUCAUAUCCUCUGCCCAUUUUUUGUUCAGGUUGUUCAUUUUUUUUGUUUUGAGUUGUAUGAGUUCUUUAUAUAUUUUGGAAGUUAGCCCCUUGUCAGAUAUACAAUUUGCAAAUAUUUUCUCCCAGUUGGUGGGUUGUCUUUUCAUUUCGUUCCUGGUUUCCUUUGCCGUGCAGAAGCUUUUUAGUCUGAUGUAGUCCCAUUUGUUUAUUUUUUCUUUUGUUUCCUUUGCCCAAGUAGACAUGUUAUUCGAAAAGAUGCUGCUAACACUGACAUCAAAGAGUGUACUACCUGUAUUUUCUUCUAGGAGUUUUAUGGUUUCAGGUGUUACCUUCCAGUCUUUAAUCCAUUUUAAGUUCAUUUUUGCAUAUGGUGUAAGAUAAUUGUCUACUUUCAUUCUUUUGCGUGUGGCUGUCCAGUUUUCCCAACACCAUUUAUUGAGGAGACUUUCUCCAUUAUAUGUUUUUGGCUCCUUUGUGGAAGAUUAGCUGUCCAUAGAUGUGUGGUUUUAUUUCUGGGCUUUUCAAUCCUGUGUCUGUUUUUCUGACACUACUAUGCUGUUUUGAUUACUGUAGCUUUGUAGUAUAUUUUGAAUUCAGGGAAUGUGAUACCUCCAGCUUUGUUCUCUUUUCUCAGGAUUCCUUUGGCUAUCUGGGGUCUUUUGUUGUUCCAUAAAAAGUUUAGGAUUCUUUGUUCUAUUUCUGUGAAGAAUGUCAUUGAAAUUCUAAUUGGGAUUGCAUUGAAUCUGCAGAUUGCUUUAGGUAAUCUGGACAUUUUAACUAUGUUUAUGCUUCCAAUCCAUGUGCAUGGAAUAGCUUUCCAUUCUUUAUGUUUUCUUUGAUUUCUUUCAAUAACAUCUUAUACAUUUGGUAUUUUAAAAAAUUUCUUUCUUUCCUUUUUCAUUAUAUUCAUAUUUUCCUUUAAAUACUUGAACAUCUUUAUAAUAGCUCUUUUAUCGUUCUUUGCUGCUAAUUCCAUCAUUUAUAUCAUUUCCCAGUUUGUUUCUAUUGACAGAUUAUUCUUCUGGUGUGAGAAAUAUGUUCAUGCUUCUCUGUAUGUCUAUUAAUUUUUUAUUGCAUAUUGGACAUUGUAAGUAUCAGCUUACUGAGUGCUAGGUUUUCUUUCUUUUUUUUUUUUUUUAAGAAUUCUAAACUUUGAAACUUUGUUCUGUUAGCUAAGUUACUUGAUAAUCAGCUAGAUUCUUUUGAGUCUUGUUUUUAAGAUUUUUUUGGUGGGCUGAUUUACAGAAGACUGUACGGUGGGUGUUCAAUAAGACUCCUGGAAUCUGUCUGGCCAGAACCCAGACAUCUCCAAGCUCUCUGUGAGCUUUGAGAAUCAUUUACUCUACAGCUCACUGGUCCAUUUUUUGUCAGCCUGGAAGAGUUUCACCCUCUGCAUGUGUCACUUACUGUUUAACAUUAGUCUCGUUGGAACCCCUUUGCAGGAUUCUGGAUCUUUUUCUUCAUAUUGCUUUCUCCUCUCCCAUUCUCUGCUCCACAAAAUCCAGCUAUCUUCACAAACUAUAUUUUCUGUCUUUUCAAUUCAGGGGUUUAAUUUCACCUUAAUAUUCAUUCAAUCCCCCCCUGCCACCACUCCUGCAGCAGAAGAAUUCCCAAACAUAAGUUAUUUAGUCUAGAGCAAUGUGCGGGGGCCCCAGAAGUUUUGUCUAUGUUAGUUCUUGGUCCUCUAAGUCCAAUAGAAUUGUCUCUGAAGGUGAGGUGAGAGUGGUACUCAAAGUUCCUCUGUCAACUAUGGCCAUGAAAACUCCAAUACCUCCACUUUUGGUGAUCAUUUCACCAUUGUGAUUUCCAUACUCUUUAAUCUUUUCAGUGCACAAAGUGGAUGUUAGAUCAGGUUCACACAAACAUACGUUUUCCUGUAUGCAUGCAGACACAUACAAACAUACUCAUUAAGGACAAAAUUAAUUAUCGGACACUGUAAAAACAUUGAUUUGGUAAUAUUGUCUAACAUUUUUGAGAAUUUUUAAUGAACUGGGGAAUUAUGAAAAACCGCUUUAUAUGCAUUAUUUCAUUUUCCUCUUAUGAAGUAUGAAGCUUAGAGAAUUGGGUAAUUUGUACAAGGUCACAUACCCAGUAGCAGAUGAAGCCAAGUUUGAGUACAGGAGCCUGACUCUAGAGGAGGAAUUGGUAAACUGUGGCCUGCAGACUGCAUCUGUUUUUGUAAAUAAAGUUUUAUCCCAAGAUAGCCAUGUCCAUUCAUUUUUGUAUUGUCUGUGGCAGCUUUUAAGCUACAACAGCACAGCUGAGUAGUUGCAACAUAUGCUGUGGUAUACAACACCUAAAAUAUUUAUUAUCUGUCCCUUUACAGAAUAAGUUUGCUGGCCCUUCCUCUAAAGCAUGAAUUAAUUACUCCAUAAUUUAUUUUUUGAAGAUGAAGAAGAUUGAUCCUGAGCUAACAUCUCUUGCCAAUCUUUCUCUUUUUGCUUGAGGAAGAUUUUCGCUGAGCUAACAUCUGUGGCAAUCUUCCUCUGUUUUAUGUGGGACACUGUCACAGCGUGGUUUGAUGAGUGGUGCUAAGUCCACGCCUAGGACCUGAACCUGAGAACCCCAGGCCACCAAAGCAAAGCAUCCAACCUAACCACUACACCACUGGGCUGGCCCCAGUUACUCCAUAAUUUUCAAGGCCAUCUCCCUUGGUACCUUGAGGUAGUUUUUCCUGUCAUUUUGCUGACCAUGAAAAUUCUUUUCAUUCAUACUGCUUUCGAAGUAUACUUUUCAGCAUACCAAAAAUAGUCCAUCACUAAAACGUAUACCCCUCUCUUUAAAAAGUUCCAUCUGCACCCUCUAGAGUGGAAAGUUUUUGAGACCAGCUGUUUUAUCUCCUGUGUUCACUGCUGUGUCUCCAGUGCCUAAGACAGAGCCUGACAUACAAUGGGUGCUGAGCUGGAUAACUCUCCACAGAUGAUCCCUUGACUAUACUCUUAGUAGCACCAACACUUGACAAUAGUUGAACAGUGAUGAGUUCUUGACCCAAAGGUGUUCAUCUUAAAAUCAGCCUGUAGCUUAUGACACGGCCUGGAAUAAGGGCUCUGCGGACAGUCUCCUGGAAGAUGAUAGCAGUGUCAGACACUCAGAGAGAGAUACAGAUAACAGAAUGGCAUGGAAACAAAGAGGCUUUACAGAAAGAAGCAGUGAUCAGAAGCCGUGAGGUAAAAGUAAAAAGCCAGGUGGAAGUGGCAGUGAAAUAGAAACAGCCAUGGUAGAAGUAAAGAUAAGUUUAGCCACAAAUAUGGAGGAGAAGCUAGAGUAGAGAGCAACGGGCACUUGCUGCUGAGGGGUCAUCGGACGAACAGGACUCGCAGCUGGAUUAUUAUAAUUGUGGAGACACUGCGCACCUGAGCAUCCUGACUGGCAUUCCAGUUUCCCUGGAGACCUGGCCAUAUGACUGUUGAGAGGCGGUUUGUUCAUAUGUCCCUUUGUAUCAACUGAAAUUACCUACGUAUGGCUUUUUUGCUGCCUGAAAAGACCCAACUAAUGCAAGUAUUUUUUAAAAAUAUUGCUAGAUUUAAUUUUCCACUCUUCGUUUGGAGGAUUUAGCUAUAGUUUUUCUUCUGUGUGUGUGUGUAUGUGUGCACACGUGCAUGUGCACGCAAUAUGUGCAUACUAACUUUGUAGGUUAAAUUUUUUCUGUUACAUCCUGUUAACUUCUCUGGUGGGCCCUCUAUAUUAUCUGCCUUCUCAGUGAUACUUUGCUAGGUUUGGCAAAAUUACUUGCAAUUUACAGGUGCUAUUGUUGCAUAACUUUCCUUUACCCUUGUAUUUGAUGAGUGUAUCUCAGAUAGAGAAUCUGUGUUUUGUUAAUCCAUUGCUUUGUGAAACUGAGUGCCAAAUUCCAAAUAAAAAUUCAAAACUUUUAAACACUGUAGUGCAUUUCUUAGCGAACUCUACUUUCUGAAGUAUCCAGAAUUCACCAUAUGGAAAUGUUAUACAAUUUCUCUUGAACAGGUUUGUUUAUAAAGUUUAGUAUCGUGGUGAGUUCAGGAAUCCAGGUGUCCAAAGAUUGGUUGUAUUAAUGACCCCGCUAAAUGGCCUCCGUAAAUCCAUAAUGUUUGUUCUAUAACCUUCAAGUUCCCUCCAACUCGGGGUCUAGGCUUGGGUACGUGACUGGCUUUGGUAAUAGGAUGUUAGCCAGCAUGACGUAAGAAGAGACUUGGAAAGUGUAUGUGCUUUUUGCUGCUUUUUUGUGUGAUUGGCCCGGCUCACCAUUCCCCUCUGCUGUGAUGUGAGAACAUGCCUGGGCUAGCCUGCAGGAAGGAUGUGAGAGGCAUGUGGAAGAGAGCUGUGCUGUUCCAGACAACCCAGCUAGAGCAUUCUAGAUCAGCCGACUGCCAGCUAGCCCUCAGAGUGGGGAGGAAAUCCAGCUGAGACCAGAAGAACAUUCCAGCUAAACCAUUCAAAAUUGUUCACCUGUAGUGAGCAAAAUAAAUGCUUAUUAUUUUAAGGAACUGUGUUUGGGAUGGUUUGUUACAAAGCAUUAUUGUGGCAAUAGAUAAUACCGAGAUGCUGAAAUAGUGGUUAAUCAAUGAGGAGACCUCCCUGUGUAUUUGAGGUGCCAAGUCAGCAAUAAUAUUCACAGAUGGUCGAUAUUUUCAUAUAUUCAUAUCUCUUUUUGUUUUCUUCUGUCUCUGGAAAAACUCCUUUACUGCCCCAGGAACAGUAAUGGUACCAGAGAAUGUUUCCCUCUGGCACUGUAGUAGCGUUUUAGGCACUAGGCAUGUCAAAAAAUAUGUCUGACUUUGCUCAUGGUGCGGUGUUUUGAUAUUUGAAGUGUUAAGAAGGUAAAUGGAUUUUAUUUGACUGGAAUGGUAAAGAUAAGACAUUCUCUGCCUCAAAUACUUGCCUGGAUUUAAGUCGUUGGUAAGAAGAAAAAAAAUAAUUAGGCUGGUGAAUGCUUUCAGUUAUGCCCUUUCCUGAUGACUCAUAGAUUUUAGAAUGCCUUUAAAGAAAUCUUGGAAAUACAGGCUGUCAGGUGAAGUCCUUGCUCUUAUAUUAGGCAAAUAUAGGUUUUUAAAAAGAAAACACAGAGGCUCCAGUUCAAGUUAACAAACAUUUAUUGAUCUCCUCUUACGUACCAGGCAUUAUAAAUACAAAAUCAGUGAAAAUACCCUCUGCACUAGACGAACUUAGAAUUCAGAAAAGAGACAGACAAAUAAAUCACGAUUCCAAUAUUCUAUGGUAAGCACAAUGAAGGCUCAUGCACACAAAGCUUAUGGUGGUCGAGGGGGUGGGGAUGGCAGGCCAGGUUUGUGUUUAAGGAAUUUAAAGGAUGAGUAGAUUUAGGCAAGUAAAAGAAGCGCUUCGCUGAGAAAGGAUUCCAGCAAGGAGCAAUAGCAUGAACAAUGACAUGGAAUGUGGAGCAGCAUGAUUACAUGGGAAACCACAGAACACAAUGGGGGACUGGGAGUUAUACUUGCCAAAAUAUAAUCAAAGUCCUGUUAGGUAUUUGCUUAUGUUUUCAAAUGUGCAAUUAUUUUUGAUAAUAGAGUUUUUGUUUUACACGAAAGUAAUCUUUGAGUAUCUUCUGGAUUUCUGUGAAUUCCGUGUGGACAGGGACCAAGUUCAUCUUCUCUC